AUUGAACGCUGGCGGCAGGCCUAACACAUGCAAGUCGAACGAGUGGCGGACGGGUGAGUAAUGUCUGGGAAACUGCCUGAUGGAGGGGGAUAACUACUGGCAACGGUAGCUAAUACCGCAUACCAUCGGAUGUGCCCAGAUGGGAUUAGCUAGUAGGUGGGGUAAAGGGGCACCUCGGCGACGAUCCCUAGCUGGUCUGAGAGGAUGACCAGCGACACUAGAACUGAGACACGGUCCAGACGCGUACGAGAGGGAGCAGUGGGGAAUAGUGCGCAAUGGUGGCAAGUAUGAUGCAGCCAUGCAGAGUGUAUGAAGAAGGCCUUGGGGUUGUAAAGUACGUUCAGCGGGGAGGCGGUACCCGCAGAAGAAGCACCGGCUAACUCCGUGCCAGCAGCCGCGGUAAUUC
rnacentral:rRNA from 1 species